rnacentral:rRNA from 1 species
GACGAACGCUGGCGGCGUGCUUAACACAUGCAAGUCGAACGAUGAAGCCGGAGCUUGCUCUGGUGAAUUAGUGGCGAACGGGUGAGUAACACGUGAGUAACCUGCCCUUGACUCUGGGAUAACUGCUAGAAAUGGUAGCUAAUACCGGAUACGACCCUCGGAGGCAUCUCCAGGGGGUGGAAAGAAUUUCGGUCAAGGAUGGACUCGCGGCCUAUCAGCUAGUUGGUGAGGUAACGGCUCACCAAGGCGACGACGGGUAGCCGGCCUGAGAGGGUGACCGGACACACUGGGACUGAGACACGGCCCAGACUCCUACGGGAGGCAGCAGUGGGGAAUAUUGCACAAUGGGCGCAAGCAUGAUGCAGCAACGCCGCGUGAGGGAUGACGGCCUUCGGGUUGUAAACCUCUUUUAGUAGGGAAGAAGCGAAAGUGACGGUACCUGCAGAAAAAGCACCGGCUAACUACGUGCCAGCCGCCGCUGUAA